GGCGCCAAGAUCCCGAGUCAGCGCGUCGGCACCUUGGCUCUAGACUGCUUACUGCUGAGCACGGCGACCGGAACAGUAACAGUCUACAGUCAUGGCUACUGAAGCAUGACAGCUGCAGCGCCUGCGCC
rnacentral:pre_miRNA from 14 species